rnacentral:lncRNA from 1 species
AGGAAAGCUGGGCGGUUCAACCGCCCAGUCAGGUGGUGGCACCGCUUGGGCUCAGUCUUCGAGUGAGACUGGGUAGUGGAACCACCCCAAUCAAGCAGUAGCACCGCUAGAGCUCGGUCUCCGAGCUCUGUCAGGCGGUCGUACCGCCUAGUCUGGAGGUAGUACCGCCAAGACCCCGAAAAUUCGGGAGAUGAUAUUUUUG